GAAGUACUCCCUCCGUCCCAAAAUAAGUGACUCAAAAGGGACUCAAGUAUGUAUUAAAGUUAGUAGAAACUUGAGUCAUUUUUGAGUCACUUAUUUUGGGACGGAGGAAGUAUGUG
rnacentral:pre_miRNA from 2 species